rnacentral:rRNA from 1 species
AUGCUAUGGGACUGCAAGGAAUCUGUCAGCGGUGGGAAAUGCAAGGUCAACUGGCAGAAGGUCUGCCGCCCUAAGGAGCUUGGUGGAUUGGGGAUCCUAGAUUUGGAAAGGUUCUCCCGCGCCCUUAGACUUCGCUGGCUUUGGGACGAAUGGAAGGCUCCUGAAAAACCUUGGGUAGGUUUUGAAACUCCUAACGAUGCCUCAGAUAGACAGCUCUUCAACGCCGCGACUCGUGUUACUAUCGGGGAUGGCAAGAAGGCCUCCUUUUGGUCUUCCUCAUGGCUUGACGGCAAGCCACCGAAAGAUAUGGCACCUCUGAUCUUCAAAGCUUCGAGGAGGAAAAACCGAACGGUCCAUGAUGCCCUUACUGACCAUACCUGGGUAGCGGAUAUUGCGGUGGAGGCCUUCACGGCAGAGCACAUUGGCCAGUUCGUCCAGCUAUGGGAUCUCAUCUCAGAUAUCCAGCUCUCCCCAGAUAUAGAAGAUUCCAUCAUCUGGACCCUCUCCCCAAAUGGAUGCUACUCUGCGAGCUCCGCCUAUAAGGCGCAGUUCAUGACCGCGCUGCCUUGCUCCUUCGGCUCGAUUGUCUGGAAAACGUGGGCGCCUCCCAAAUGCCGCUUCUUCGCUUGGCUCGCC